rnacentral:rRNA from 1 species
CCUACGGGUGGCAGCAGUGGGGAAUAUUGCGCAAUGGGCGAAAGCCUGACGCAGCGACGCCGCGUGAGGGAUGAAGGUCUUCGGAGCGUAAACCUCUGUCAGCAGGGAAGAACGGUCACGGUGCUAAGCAGCAGUGAAUGGACGGUACCUGCAAAGGAAGCACCGGCUAACGCCGUGCCAGCAGCCGCGGUAAUACGGAGGGUGCGAGCGUUAAGGGGAAUUACUGGGCGGAAAGCGCGCGGAGGCGGUAUGUCCAGUCAAGGGGGAAAUCCCCGCCCUCAACGUGGGAACUGCCUUUGAACCUGGCAAACUGGAGUGUGUUAGAGGCUAGUGGCAUUCCAGGUGUAGUCGU